rnacentral:rRNA from 1 species
CCUACGGGUGGCAGCAGUGAGGAAUAUUGGUCAAUGGCCGGAAGGCUGAACCAGCCAUGCCGCGUGAAGGUCAGUGCCCUAUGGGCGUUAAACUUCUUUUGUGCGGGAGCAAUAAUGGUCACGUGUGGCCAGACGAGAGUACCGUACGAAUAAGCAUCGGCUAACUCCGUGCCAGCAGCUGCGGUAAUACGGGGGAUGCCAGCGUUAUCCGGGUUGUUUGGGUGUAAAGGGUGCGUAGGCUGUGAGGUAAGUCAUCGGGGAAAUGCCCCCGCUCAACGGGGUGAAGUGCCAUUGAUACUGCCUUGCUGGAAUGCGGAUGCCGUGGGAGGAAUGUGUGGUGUAGCGGUGAAAUGCAUAGAUAUCACACAGAACACCGAUUGCGAAGGCAUCUCACGAAUCCGCGAUUGACGCUGAUGCACGAAAGCGUGGGUAUCAAACAGGAUUAGAUACCCCAGUAGUC